CCGAUCUUCCACUAUUUUCAUUAUCUUCUUUCUCCUUUUUUUCGUUAUGACUACAAAAGUUAUGCAUUUUAUUGCUUUUCUCGUUAUCUUCUCCGUACCUUUUUUAAUCUCUUAUUUCUUACAUUCUUCUCAAGUACACUUUAAAAAAAUAUAUCUUUCAAGAUUGAUAUGGAUUGCAUUCUACUAUUUUCAGACUAUAUUUUGCACCAGAAAUAGUUUCUGUUUGUUUCCCGUUUUCUUGAAAAAAAUAGUGGUUAGAAAAUACACUUGAAACCAAUCUAGGUGAAUAAAACAUGAAAACUUGUUUUUAGGUUUAAACCGCCGUAGGAAGAAUAAUC